ACUCCAUUUAUCUACAUUCUGAUCCCUACCGUCUUUCCCAAUCUCUUCAUCGCCGAUUGCCAUCGUCGACCUCGAUGCCACCGAUCGCUCAAUGUCGCCUCUCUCUUGACUCUCUCCACCAUCGGCCAUGGGAGAUCUAUUGUUGUCGAGUCUCUCCCUCUCACACAAUCAUGUUGUGAUGCCCCCGCUCAAUCGCUGCUACUUGAUCGUUGCUAUUCCGUCGUCGCCACUUUGUGUGAGGCUAGCACUGUGACACUGACGCCAUCGGUCGUUGCGAGAGGGUUGGUUUCUCUGUGUACCCUCGUUCCUUCUUCGGUGCCAAGUCCAGCCACCGUCGAACCCCUUCUUCCUCUCGAUCUCUUCAGCAACGCCAUCGCCCACACAUCACCCUUGCUUUUGUCGGUGUGGUGUUGCGGCUACAGUCGCCAGUGAGCGAUCGCGACCAUAUUUCAGCCGGCCAUGAUUGAGGAAGCAACACAGUUAUCUUAAAGGAAAAUGGUUUCAUUUGGUACCGGCCACCAUCACUGGCAGUGGAUUGCUCCGACCAUGAGCCAACAAGCCAACAGUAGAGUGCAAUGGAUUUGGGCUAGCAACAGGAGGUGCGGGCAGUAGUAGACCACUGCUUUGGAUGCCUUGGAUUUGUUGGGCUAUCAGAAAUUGCUGCUGUGGAGAGAAUAAGAAACAGUAAGUUAGUUGGAUGACAAAAGUUUAGUGGGAUGCAUUAGCAGAAUUAUGUGCCAAAUGCAGUUUCAGAAAAGGAAUGCAGUUUCAGAAAUCAAAUAUUUAUCAACAGGAAUCAGAUUAUGUGCCAAAUGCAGAUAUGCAGGAAUUUUUCAGGCUUGAGUCAGAUUAUGUUCUGUUGCUGAAUUUAUUUCUUAAGUUCAGAUAUGCAGGAAUUUUUCAGGCUUGAGUCUGAAUCUGCACUCUGUUUGAAGAAAUGAAUAGGUCAAUGAUAUGGUCAAUGAAUGUAUCCACAAGAACUAGCUGCUGGAUUGCGCUAUGAAUUCUGUUUGCAGAUUUUUAAUUAGUAGAUGUAAACUUAGCUGAAAUCCUUAUUUCCUUAUUAUCAUCUGGU